AUGGAUAUAAAAGCGCACUACUCACAUCCUAUUUUGUGUUUGCAGAUACCGCCGCUGUCAUUUCCCUCCAUCCUCCUCCUCCCCACCACCACCAGGUUGGCCCUGUCCAUGCGGGGGGUAGGCUCCGCCCUGCCUUCGUCUUCGGCAGGAUUAGCUGAUACCGCCGCUGUCAUUUCCCUCCAUCCUCCUCCUCCCCACCACCAUCAGGUUGGCCCUGUCCAUGCGGGGGGUAGGCUCCGCCCUGCCUUCGUCUUCGGCAGGAUUAGCUGGUAUCUACAAACUUCAGAUCCAUGCUACGGAUGGGGCCUACGCCAAAAUAAUUAUAUUUUUUGUGUUGUUGUAAAUAAAUACUUCAGUCUUAUCUCUACCUCCCUGAGUCUUUCUGGUAGAAAUAUAUAUAUAUAUAUAUAUAUAUAUAUAUAUAUAUAUAUAUAUAUAAAAAUGACUGUUUAAAAACAAUAGCAUGCAUAAGAGCCUUUGUGUAAAGGUUUUUUUAUUUUUUGAUGAGUAGACUGUAGCCUAAGACUAUCCUAUUUUUAAUGGCUUUUAAGGAUGUUAUAAUGUAUAUUAUAAUGUUAUUGUUGUUUAACGUCUUCCUUUCAUUUUACAAUUAUAUUCAGUUCGCAACCCGUCCCUUUGCGCCACCUGGCGGUAGUUUCGCGAAUGAUUUUAACACGCGACUGAUUUGCAGUUAACGCCGCGGCAUUACCCAUUUUGGUUGUCUACCAUCUGUACACUGUACCUGUUACAAUAAUAAGACACACAAAAAACACAUUUUCAAAAAGGCUAUAGUAUAUCAAAUAUAUAAUACUGCUCAAUAGGCUCGGCUUUUAAUGUUGGCAGACAUAAUUGCUAAUGAGCCAAAUUUUCAAUUUUUUUGUAAAGGCCUUGUAAGUGUUGAGCUGUCUAACCUCCUCAGGUAUAAAAUUCCAUUCAGUAGUGUUUAAGCUUAUUUAUCUCUCUAUUAGUAAUUGCUAGAAUAAUUCUAUUUUUCAUAGUAAACUGUCAAGUGUCAGCUUUCAAAAACCUUGGUUUUGUGUGUUGUCAGGAGCAACCAUUUUAUUUCAGGUAUGUCAUUUUUCACUCCCUGGCCAAAAGUGGAGGUGACUGGUAAGGGGUUAACAACCCCCUCAAGUCCCCUCUCCCCCCCUUCACUUCGGGUCUGUGAAAAAGGUGUGUAUCUGGUCUUCGGCACCAGCCCCAGAUGCUGUUUCACCAGCCUGUCUGAAAACCUUUGCUGACCAGCUGGCCCCCAUCUUCACACAGAUCUUCAACAGAUCACUGGAGCUGUGCGAAGUCCCUUCCUGCUUCAAACGCUCCACCAUCAUCCCCAUCCCAAAGAAACACAAAAUUACAGGAAUAAAUGACUACAGACCUGUGGCUUUAACAUCUGUGGUUAUGAAGUCAUUUGAAAGACUGGUUCUGGCAUACCUGAAGAGCAUCACU
ensembl:lncRNA